rnacentral:tRNA from 1 species
GCGAAUAUGGUGAAGUGGUUAACACAUCGGAUUGUGGCUCCGACAUGCGUGGGUUCGACUCCCACUAUUCGCCCCA